rnacentral:rRNA from 1 species
CAGUCGCCGCGGUAAAACGUAGGGUGCGAGCGUUAAUCGGAAUUACUGGGCGUAAAGCGUGCGCAGGCGGUUUUGUAAGUCUGUCGUGAAAUCCCCGGGCUCAACCUGGGAAUGGCGAUGGAGACUGCAAGGCUAGAAUCUGGCAGAGGGGGGUAGAAUUCCACGUGUAGCAGUGAAAUGCGUAGAUAUGUGGAGGAACACCGAUGGCGAAGGCAGCCCCCUGGGCUAAGAUUGACGCUCAUGCACGAAAGCGUGGGGAGCAAACAGGAUUAGAUACCCGCGUAGUCCCUGUCUCUUAUAC